GGAGGCUGUUGGAUCGUGCGCCGGGGAAUGAGGAGAGGUGAGCUGGUUGCUGCUUUGAAAAAGAAGCACGUGGCCAUCCCUAUGAUAUUGGACUCAAGGUUCGAGUGGACAAUGUCCCGUCUGGCGGUGUUGGGUCAGCUCCUACAGCUUGCCAAGCUGUAGUUCCUGCAGCUGGUGCUCCUGCUCCAGUUCGCGUUGUGCGAGCUGGUGUAGAUCACACUCAACCCGUACCGGCCGCUGAUGCUGCUGUUCCAGCAGCGGUUCUUGCAGCAGGCCCACCGGAGGCACCUCCAGUGCUUGCAGAGGUUGAUCAUGAGGUUCACCUUGGUGUCUUGGUGCAAAAGUACAAACUGUCCUACGUCAGGGGAGCCCGGGGAGACUCCAUCUUCGUUAAAGAGGCCACGAAGCUGAUCUUCGGCAGAGAGGACCUGCAUGGGCCGAGUGUGAGGGGUGCCAUGACGGCGCCUCAAGGGCGCCGUGGCCAAGUGGGCCCUGACUCCAGUCAAGUUGGCAGCAGUCAGCAGGAAGUGCCGACUUCUCACAGAUGUC